rnacentral:ribozyme from 1 species
UGCACAGUAACUCCUAUCCCUACCUCCUCACGGUACUGGCCGUGGUACGAGUAACCUUGGGGAAGAUCGGGUAACCAACCACGGUGGGAACUCUGGUCGUAUGCUGACAGGGAAGG